GCCCGGAUGGCGGAAUAGGCAGACGCGCCUGACUCAAAAUCAGGUUCCCGAAAGGAGUGUGGGUUCGAUUCCCUCUCCGGGUA
rnacentral:tRNA from 1 species